AAACCUACCUAUAAGACUGGGAUAACUUCGGGAAACCGGAGCUAAUACCGGAUAAUAUUUUGAACCGCAUGGUUCAAAAGUGAAAGACGGUCUUGCUGUCACUUAUAGAUGGAUCCGCGCUGCAUUAGCUAGUUGGUAAGGUAACGGCUUACCAAGGCAACGAUGCAUAGCCGACCUGAGAGGGUGAUCGGCCACACUGGAACUGAGACACGGUCCAG
rnacentral:rRNA from 1 species